rnacentral:lncRNA from 1 species
CCUAAUUUCUUCUCACAGUAAUCACCAACCUUGAACUUGAACAUGUCUUCCAAUGCUUUAAGCAGCUCAGGAUAUCCUCUGUACACCUUCAAAUCAAUCUUUCUUAGAUAAGGAGCUCCAUCCAUGCUUAUCUUCACGUAGAUGCCGGCUGCCUCCGCCUCGGUUUUCUUCGAUUGGAGGCAGUUUUUCCAGUAUGAUCUCACCGGCGGCCACCCUACUACUUGUGUCCUGCAAUACAUAACCACAUAACCAGAUUAGUUUAACUUGUUUAACCUCAAAUUAAUCACAAACCAUGUUGGAACAACCCUAAUCAUAUUGUUGAGAGGAUGAAGCUCACAUUGGGAAAUAAGGAAUCUUGCAUGUGCUUAUAAGUUAUUGAGCUACUCUAACUUAUUGAUUUUAUAGUAGAACCUCAACAUCUAGUUUAUGUGCGACAAGAUUGCUUACUUGGUAGGUGGAGGCUGAGAAAUUUGCUCGUCGGAUCUGUUGGCGGGUGAAGAAUCAUUGUCUUCGCAUGUCGGAUUGCAGUGGUCUUUUGUUACUCUUGCUAACCAAAGUAGGAGAAGAGGUGUUCUGCUCGGAAUCAUUGGUGCCUGGUAACCCUA